AGAGUUUGAUCAUGGCUCAGAUUGAACGCUGGCGGCAUGCCUUACACAUGCAAGUCGAACGGCAGCGCGGGGCAACCUGGCGGCGAGUGGCGAACGGGUGAGUAAUAUAUCGGAACGUACCCUGGAGUGGGGGAUAACGUAGCGAAAGUUACGCUAAUACCGCAUACGAUCCAAGGAUGAAAGCAGGGGACCUUCGGGCCUUGUGCUCCUGGAGCGGCCGAUAUCUGAUUAGCUAGUUGGUGAGGUAAAGGCUCACCAAGUCAUCGAUCAGUAGCUGGUCUGAGAGGACGAUCAGCCACACUGGAACUGAGACACGGUCCAGACUCCUACGGGAGGCAGCAGUGGGGAAUUUUGGACAAUGGGCGCAAGCCUGAUCCAGCAAUGCCGCGUGAGUGAAGAAGGCCUUCGGGUUGUAAAGCUCUUUUGUCAGGGAAGAAACGGCUGUGGCUAAUAUCCAUGGCUAAUGACGGUACCUGAAGAAUAAGCACCGGCUAACUACGUGCCAGCAGCCGCGGUAAUACGUAGGGUGCAAGCGUUAAUCGGAAUUACUGGGCGUAAAGCGUGCGCAGGCGGUUUUGUAAGUCUGACGUGAAAUCCCCGGGCUUAACCUGGGAAUUGCGUUGGAGACUGCAAGGCUAGAAUCUGGCAGAGGGGGGUAGAAUUCCACGUGUAGCAGUGAAAUGCGUAGAGAUGUGGAGGAACACCGAUGGCGAAGGCAGCCCCCUGGGUCAAGAUUGACGCUCAUGCACGAAAGCGU
rnacentral:rRNA from 1 species